GUAUUGUAACGGACUAAGAGAUAUUUAGCUCUCCCCAUGACAAGGAUGAAACACAUGUACUGGUUAAGGCACUGGUGUAAUACAGCAAUUAACCAUAUUUUUUG